rfam:Triticum aestivum genome assembly, contig: Triticum_aestivum_CS42_TGACv1_scaffold_331227_4BS
AUCAUACUCGCUCCGUCCCAAAAUUCUUGUAUUAGUUUUGUCUAAAUACGGAUGUAUCGAGUCACGUUUUAGUAUUAGAUACAUCCGUAUCUAGGCAAAUCUAAGACAAGAAUUUUGGGAUGGAGGGAGUACAAC